rnacentral:rRNA from 1 species
UACGUAGGGGGCGAGCGUUGUCCGGAUUCAUUGGGCGUAAAGCGCUUUAAGGCGGUUCGGUAAGUCGGGUGUGAAACCUCCAGGCUCAACCUGGAGACGCCACUCGAUACUGCUGUGACUAGAGUUCGGUAGGGGAUCACGGAAUUCCUGGUGUAGCGGUGAAAUGCGCAGAUAUCAGGAGGAACACCGGUGGCGAAGGCGGCCCACUGGGCUGUCACUGACGCUGAGGCGCGAAAGCUCGGGGAGCGAGCGGG